rnacentral:lncRNA from 1 species
GAAUUAUGUGCUGGUGGUGAGCUAUUUGAUCGAAUUGUAGCCAGGGGCCAUUAUAGCGAGAGAUCUGCGGCUUCUGUAUUCAGGGUAAUUAUGAAUGUUGUGAAUAUUUGCCACUCUAAGGGUGUUAUGCACAGGGACCUCAAACCUGAGAAUUUCUUGUUCACCAGCACGGACGAGAAUGCUGUUUUGAAGGCCGCUGAUUUUGGGUUGUCAAUGUUCAUUGAAGAGGGUAAAUUUCUUGUCCUUCCUUGCAUAUUAUCUAUGUUUAGACUUUACUGAAUAUAGUAGUCUCUCAUGCCAGUAGAAUUUUCCAAUAUGUAUCAUUUGAGUAAGCCGUAACUCAGCUUAAUGUAUUGAUUUAGGUGAAAAUCAUAAGAAAAUAAUGCAAAACUCUUAGGAUCACUAUGAAAGGCGGAUUUAAUUAAUCUAGCUAUUAAUCUAUCCUUUUUUUAUUAUCCCGUGAUACAUUUUCCAGGAAAGGCAUACAGCGAAAUAGUUGGAAGUCCUUACUAUAUGGCUCGCGAAGUAUUAUUGCGAAGUUAUGGGAAGGAAGCAGACAUUUGGAGCGCAGGAGUGAUAUUGUAUAUUUUAUUGUGUGGUGUGCCUCCCUUUUGGGCAGGUGAAAAUCAAUAUUCUUUUUGCACCCUACACGAUCUCUUUUCACUUCAACAACGUAUUUGUAUUUCUUACCGUCAACUAAGAGUACAGAGUGUGACUAUGACCACUCUGAAUUUUUUGUGUGCUCUGCAGAAACGGAGCAGGGAGUUGCUCAGGCUAUAUUAAAAGGAGAAAUUAACUUCCAACGUGAUCCAUUUCCAAGUAUAUCAAGCAGUGCCAUAGAGUUGGUUCGCAGGAUGCUAACACUGGAUCCAAAAAGGCGGAUUACUGCUGCUCAAGUUCUAGGUUUAAAGUAUUGGAUCCUCAUGUUAUUAAUUUUUCUCAUUCAUUCUAUCUAUGCUGCUUUGAUUACUGCAAGUUAAAAUUUAUUGGUCUAUUUAAUAAUACAAAUGGUAUAGCUACCACUGAAAAAUGUAUAUGAUAUGCAGAGCACCCUUGGCUUAAAGAAAGUGGAGAAGCAUCAGAUAAGCCAAUCGAUACUGCUGUUAUUUUCAGGAUGAAGCAGUUUACGGCAAUGAAUAAACUAAAGAAACUUGCACUAAAGGUAAGUCUAACUGUCUAAGGCCCAUGAGUCCCUCCUAAAUGAGCUUAAACUUGAGAAAUACUUGGAUAGGAUUGAUAGAUAUAAAGGAAAGUGACAAAGCUUGUAUCUUAAGCACACGUGACAAAUAAUAUACAUGUGUCAAAAGAUUCUCCAAAUUAUAACAUGUAUGUGAAUCUAUACCUGAUGACAUUGUAUGCAUCAUGACGACAUUUUAAUUCUAAAUAUUAUAACAGAAAUUUAUAUGACUGACUAUUAUGAGUUACAUGUUUGAUUGAAAUUUUGCAUCUACGCUUCCUCGUCAACAACAUUAUAUUGUAUUGUUGUAUUUUGAAAACUUGUGCAAGCCAAUAAAAAUUUAUGUAUUCUAUUGUGUUCGCCCUACUGAUGAACCAUGUGUUCUUUAGGUCAUUGUGGAAAAUCUUCCUACUGAAGAAAUACAAAAACUAAAAGAAAAAUUUACAGAGAUGGACACUGACAACAGUGGCACUCUUACUUACGAUGAAUUGAAGGAAGGAUUAGCUAAACUUGGAUCGACACUUACAGAAUUUGAUGUCAAGCAGUACAUGCAGGCUGUAAGUAAUUCAUGAACGCUGAGUUUAUCACACUGUCUGUCUAUUUGCAUUAUACCCAGCUGAUAUUGUUGGCUCUGCAUUUCUGCAGGCUGAUAUAGAUGGAAAUGGGACCAUUGACUACAUUGAGUUUAUAACAGCUACGAUGCAAAGGCACAAGCUACAAAGAUUUGAAAAUCUUUAUAAAGCCUUUCAGUACUUUGACAAGGAUAAUAAUGGGUAAGCUUCUCAUUUUAUUUUUAUUAUUAUAGAAGCAUGUUGAGCAUUAUUUGCAUCCUCAGUUUUUUCAUGAUCUGAAUGGGGAAUAUUGAAAACCUACUCCCUCCAUUAACUGGCUUAAAUUUAAUGGGUUUAUAUAUGGAGUCAAUUGACUAAUUAAUGAAGUUCUUUUUCUAAAUGGCUAUGUAGAUAUAUCACGGUAGAUGAACUCGGAAAAGCUUUCAAAGAUUAUGGCAUGGGUGAUGAUGCCACAAUUGCUACAAUUAAAGAAAUAAUGUCUGAAGUUGACAGAGACAAAGUAAGUUGAUUUUCAGUUUCAAGGGCAUUAGUAAUUUGUCUUCAUUAUUGUAAGUCAAUUCCCACGCCUUUAAUUUGUGUAUACAGGAUGGUAGAAUCAGCUAUGAUGAAUUUCGUUCAAUGAUGAAAUGCGGAACCCAACUGCGAGCAUUGUCUUCUAGAUCUCUAGCUCAUGUUGUAACUGUAAGACGCAAGGUAUUCUGGUAGGUAAACUGUGUUGUUAUUCAUCGUUUUCUGUAUAUCUUUGUAAAUUUUGUUAUUGCAGUUUUGUGAGAGUGUAUUAGAACAAUAAUAGUCAUAUACGGAAUUGCACAAAUUUACCUUCUCCCCUUUUUCUUCUUACAGUCAAAUAUAUAAAUAUACGGAAGUGAACAAAUUUUGUGAUGCAUACGUAGGCUCUGAAUAUUGUAGGAUCAAAAGAUUUAUACAUUAUUUCUAUUAAGAUUUGUUUCUAUGAAAUAAAAUACAGUUGAAACAAAUACAUGGAUGAGUAUACGCUUUAUUCUAUGAAUUUCCUCUGAUUGAAAAAAGGAAAAUGCAGAGAGGCGAGAGAGAAGACAUCAGCAAAAAUCACCAUCAUCACAGCAGCAAACGGGCACUUAAUAAAUUAGAAAGUCUUUCUUCUCGUCACAAUAAUUAACCUUUCUUGAUUUGCCCAAUUUUGUUAAAAUGUUAAGCCUAGAGAGAGCUUCGUCACUUCGCCAUUGCAACUUGGGGGUUUUCAUUGCACUCGAAUCGCCAUUUCAGCCUCUGAGGAAGACGAAUUAGAGGACAAUGCCUGUGGGUCAGUGUGUUAACAUAACCAAAAUUGUAAACGGCAGUGAUCCUUCAACAGCUUUGAAAACUCGCUCUUUUUAUCAAUCAAUUUCUUCAAGCUGAGACCUUGUUCAGAGAUGGAGAGGGGAGCAACAAAGAGAGAAAAGGACUUGAAAAAUAAAAUAAAAAAUUGUUUGCAUUAAAUUAUUUGCAAAUCUAAGGUUGUUUUUGUCUUUUUAUUACUAGUGGAUAAUAUUAGGGGCAAAUAUAAUACAUUCAUCGGUCAACUAUGGUUUGACCAUAAAGAAAAAAACAAAAAACUAAUGACAUGAGGGUGGGGGGAUGACUUUUCCAAUAAUUGGACCAUAAUAAACCCCAAAAAAAACGCAUUUUUUACGAAUUAUUUUAUAUAUUAAAUGCAAUUAUCUUCAUAUUAUUAAUCUGUUAGAAGAUUUUUAUUGGGAAUAUUAAUUUUUGAACUAUUUAUAAAAUUUUUAAAAAAAUAAUGAAUGAUGUGGGCUAUGUGUAUAUUUGAAAGAGGCUUUUGCUACCUUACAUGUACGUAAGGUACAGCCUCUCACAAGGUUGGUGGGUUUAAAUGGGACCCAUAUCUGAGUUUUGUGAGAAGACUAUACCUUACGUGCAUGUAAGGUAGCAGCUCCCUUUGAAAUAUAUAAUUUAAUUUAUUGAUUUUUUAAAUUUAUGGGGAGAAUAAAAAUAUGAAUGGAAUCUUUGUUAUUCAUUGUUUGUGUCAUGGGGAAGGUUCAUUAUCGGGUUACACCACCAUCAUUUAUUCAAACUUCUAUCCUAUCCCACGCGUUUCUUUUUCGCUGACCAUUUCGAACAAAAGCCAAAAAAUUUCAGAAUUUCUUACCAAAAAAAAAAAGGGCCAAUAAAUUUUAACCAUAACGACGCAUAGUUUGAUAGUUAAAAUACAUACGCGUACCAAUAUACAGUUGAUAUCUCCGAAGUGGGCAAGCUGGAAUUGCUCUUUGUAUAUUAUUUUACUUUUCCUUAAAAUCUCACUUGAUUCCCUAUAAUUUAUCUUUGAUCUCAAGUGGAUUUGUUCCAGUUGACUUCUGUAAAGAUCCAGACAUCCAGAGUUGAGCUUGAGCUGAGCCUCUUAUGCAGAAAUGGGUGGCUGUUUAAGCAAAAUCCCGGGCUCCUCAAAGCCAGCAGCAGCCCGACAGCAGCAACCACCUAAACUAGAUGAUGCAAUUCUUGGUAAACCGUACGAGGAUGUGGGGUUGCAUUACACUAUUGGGAAAGAACUGGGUAUGGGAGCAUUUGCUGUUACAUAUCUUUGUACUGAGAAUUCAACCGGUUUGCAAUUUGCUUGCAAGUCUAUCUCUAAGAAAAAAAUUGUAGCUGCGUAUGAAAAGGAUGAUGUAAGAAGAGAGAUUGAGAUAAUGCGACAUUUGAGUGGGCAGCCUAAUAUAGUUCAAUUUAAGGGUGCUUAUGAGGACAGGCAUUCUGUGCAUAUUGUCAUGGAGUUAUGUGCUGGUGGUGAGCUAUUUGACCGAAUUAUAGCCAAGGGCCAUUAUAGUGAGAGAGAUGCGGCUUCUGUAUUCAGGGUAAUUAUGAAUGUUGUGGAUGUUUGCCACUCUAAGGGUGUUAUGCACAGGGAUCUCAAACCUGAGAAUUUCUUGUUCACUACCAGGGAUGAGAAUGCUGUUUUGAAGGCCACUGAUUUUGGGUUAUCAGUGUUCUUUGAAGAGGGUAAAUUUCUUCACCAUAUAUAUGUUUGUAUUUAAAAUCCAUUAUAGUCACCAUAUAUAUGUUUGUAUUUGAAAUCUUAUAUUUACAUACGUUCAUGUGAACCUAAGUUUCGAUGUUCAAUUAUGUCUGAUAAAUGAAUGGCAUUUCCAUUUAAUUUCAAUAGUGAAUUAGACAUGCAGUAUGCCGUGAGGCUUCAUGUAUUACUUUAGAUGAAAUCAUCAGAAAAUAAUGUGAAACUCUUAGGAUCACCAUGAAAGGCUUGUUUAAUCUAGCUAUCAACUUAUCCUUG